rnacentral:rRNA from 1 species
GAUGAACGCUGGCGGCGUGCCUAAUACAUGCAAGUCGAACGCUUCACAUAUGUGAAGAGUGGCGAACGGGUGAGUAAUACAUAAGUAACCUGGCCUUUACAGGGGGAUAACUGUUGGAAACGAUAGCUAAGACCGCAUAGGUGUGAUAACCGCAUGGAGAUGACAUGAAAUAUGCUACGGCAUAGGUAGAGGAUGGACUUAUGGCGCAUUAGCUAGUUGGAGGGGUAACGGCCCACCAAGGCGACGAUGCGUAGCCGACCUGAGAGGGUGACCGGCCACACUGGGACUGAGACACGGCCCAGACUCCUACGGGAGGCAGCAGUAGGGAAUUUUCGGCAAUGGGGGAAACCCUGACCGAGCAACGCCGCGUGAAGGAAGAAGUAAUUCGUUAUGUAAACUUCUGUCAUAGAGGAAGAACGGUGCGUGUAGGGAAUGACAUGCAAGUGACGGUAC